GUGUCAGCCGCCGCGGUAAUACGUAGGAGGCAAGCGUUGUCCGGAUUUACUGGGCGUAAAGAGCGUGUAGGCGGCCUGUCAAGUCUGCUGUGAAAGCUCUCGGCUUAACCGGGAGAGGUCGGUGGAAACUGGCAGGCUAGAGGACGGUAGAGGGGGGUGGAAUUCCCGGUGUAGUGGUGAAAUGCGUAGAUAUCGGGAGGAACACCAGUGGCGAAGGCGGCCCCCUGGGCCGCUCCUGACGCUGAGACGCGAAGGCCAGGGUAGCGAACGGGAUUAGAAACCCGCGUAGUCC
rnacentral:rRNA from 1 species